UUCCUAGGAGGUGGAGGAGAUGUAACCC
rnacentral:piRNA from 1 species